UGUUUCUUGAAAUGGAUAUAAACUCAAGUACUACCACUGGGUGAUACACAAUUGUGCCUUAACUGGAACAGCACCUGAAUCAGAGGAGCAUGCCCUCUCCCACUCUAACCUGCACCUCAAGCUCUCACCUGGACAACUCACACUGGUACUCACUUGCACCACAGUUCUGGCAGACUUGAGGUUAAAUUAACUUCUGUGAGCAAGGCUGAGAACAAAGCCAGUGUGUGAAGCUUGAAGCAAACUCCAAUGCAAAACUCUCAGCUACUGCCAUCUCUUCCUAUGCACUGCUCCACUUGUUCCUGUGCAGCCCUCACUGAAGCAUCACCUCCUCGCAGCAAACCAACUUCCUUUGGGGGCCAAUGGACUUUUAGACUCUUGCAACUUCAAAAAAAAAAUCCAUACCUGGGGGGCUUCCAGUCAAAAUGGCCAAAUUAUCUCCAUGACGUUUUCAGUGCCUAACUCCCACCUUGGCACUCUCCACCUGAUGAACUCCUAUUCAUCCAUGAAGACCCCAUGCUCUUCCUUUAGUUUUCUCCUCUGGGUAGAC